AGAUGAGGUAGAGGAGCAGUAAAAAUCAGUAAUUUUACUCUUGCAAAUCCAGCUUAAACUUAAAAUGAAAGGGUUUACUGCCGAAGUGUAUUUUUUUAGGAUUAAAAAAAUCACUGGGACUGUAUAAAAAAUAUACAGGACUGUCAUAGUUAAAUUAACUAUGUUGUGCUAUCUCAUGA
rnacentral:ncRNA from 2 species